UACGUAGGGUGCGAGCGUUAAUCGGAAUUACUGGGCGUAAAGCGUGCGUAGGCGGUUCGUUAUGUCUGCUGUGAAAGCCCCGGGCUUAACCUGGGAAUGGCAGUGGAAACUGGCGGGCUUGAGUGUGGCAGAGGGGGGUGGAAUUCCGCGUGUAGCAGUGAAAUGCGUAGAGAUGCGGAGGAACACCGAUGGCGAAGGCAGCCCCCUGGGCUGACACUGACGCUGAGGCACGAAAGCGUGGGGAGCAAACGGG
rnacentral:rRNA from 1 species